rnacentral:rRNA from 1 species
UACGUAGGGUGCAAGCGUUAAUCGGAAUUACUGGGCGUAAAGCGUGCGCAGGCGGUUUCUUAAGUCAGAUGUGAAAGCCCCGGGCUUAACCUGGGAACUGCGUUUGAAACUACAAGGCUAGAGUGUGGCAGAGGGGGGUGGAAUUCCACGUGUAGCAGUGAAAUGCGUAGAGAUGUGGAGGAACACCGAUGGCGAAGGCAGCCCCCUGGGUUAACACUGACGCUCAGGCACGAAAGCGUGGGGAGCAAACAGG